CCUACGGGUGGCAGCAGUAGGGAAUCUUCCACAAUGGGCGAAAGCCUGAUGGAGCAACGCCGCGUGGGUGAAGAAGGUCUUCGGAUCGUAAAACCCUGUUGUUAGAGAAGAAAGUGCGUGAGAGUAACUGUUCACGUUUCGACGGUAUCUAACCAGAAAGCCACGGCUAACUACGUGCCAGCAGCCGCGGAAAUACGUAGGUGGCAAGCGUUAUCCGGAUUUAUUGGGUGUAAAGGGAACGCAGGCGGUCUUUUAAGUCUGAUGUGAAAGCCUGCGGCUUAACCGGAGUAUUGCAUUGGAUACUGGGAGACUUGAGUGCAGAGGAGGUGGGUGGAACUCGAGGUGUAGCGGUGAAAGGCGUAGAUAUAUGGAAGAACACCAGUGGCGAAGGCGGCUCUCUAAUCUGUGACUGACAUUGAGGUUCGAAAGCGUGGGUAUCAAACAGGAUUAGAUACCCUUGUAGUC
rnacentral:rRNA from 1 species